UACGUAGGGUGCAAGCGUUAAUCGGAAUUACUGGGCGUAAAGCGUGCGCAGGCGGCUUUGUAAGUCUGUCGUGAAAUCCCCGGGCUUAACCUGGGAAUUGCGAUGGAGACUGCAAGGCUAGAAUCUGGCAGAGGGGGGUAGAAUUCCACGUGUAGCAGUGAAAUGCGUAGAGAUGUGGAGGAACACCGAUGGCGAAGGCAGCCCCCUGGGUCAAGAUUGACGCUCAGGCACGAAAGCGUGGGGAGCAAACAGG
rnacentral:rRNA from 1 species